rnacentral:rRNA from 1 species
UGGGGAAUAUUGGACAAUGGGGGCAACCCUGAUCCAGCCAUUCCGCGUGAGUGAAGAAGGCCUUCGGGUUGUAAAGCUCUUUCAGCAGGAACGAAACGGUCGGCUUUAAUAAAGUCGGCUAAUGACGGUACCUGCAGAAGAAGCACCGGCUAACUACGUGCCAGCAGCCGCGGUAAUACGGAGGGUGCAAGCGUUGUCCGGAUUUAUUGGGUUUAAAGGGUGCGUAGGCGGUUUAGUAAGUCGGGUGUGAAAACUUUGGGCUUAACCCAAAGCGUGCAUCCGAUACUGCUGUGACUUGAGUACGGUAGGGGAGCGGGGAAUUCCUAGUGUAGCGGUGAAAUGCGCAGAUAUUAGGAGGAACACCGGUGGCGAAGGCGCCGCUCUGGGCCGAAACUGACGCUGAGGAGCGAAAGCAUGGGUAGCAAACAGGAUUAGAUACCCCCGUAGUCCCUGAGCGGGCUGGCAAGGCGCAU